UAAAUUCUAAUUUUCUAAUUGCAAAAUCCUAAGCAACGUGUAUUCUGAAAUUUAGAUUUGAGAUUCUCCUAGUGAAUGCGCCGCGACUUCUCAGAGACAGAGUCUCAGACCUCCGACUCCCCCCUAACCUCUGACCUUCCGCCGUCCGGCCGCCGUCCACUCGUCUCCCUUCCGGCGCGAGUCGCGACAGCCCAGCCGGGUUCCAGCAUUCCAGCCUUCGCGCCAGCCCCUUCCGGCGCGGGUUCCAGCCUUCCAGACCGGCCUUCGCGACAGCCCAGCCGCCAGCCGGGUCCCCCUCACUCUUCGAUUUGAUUUUUCGUAAGUUUCAGUUUGAUACUUUGAUUUGAUUUUCAAGUUUGGGACUUUUAAUGGCUGAAAAUUUAGGUUUCCAGUUUGCUUGUAAUGUAGAUCUGAAAAUCUGAAUUGGGAUCGACUUGUGGCUGUUAAAUUGUUAAUGCAAAUCUUCGAAUUUAGGUUUCCAGUUUAGCUUCAAAUUUAGCUCUGAAAAUCUGCAUUGUCAGAUGUUAAGCUUUUAAAAUCUGAAAAAAAAAAUUGUAUCGGUUCGAUAAACCGAACCGAAACUGACGGUUUUAUUGGUUGGAUUUGGCACCCCCAAUUGGUGCGGUGCGGUCCCAAUUUUAACCAUCGGCUUAUUGUACCAGCUGAAAUAAUGAGCUUAUGCUGGUGAAAUUAUUAGAAAUUGUUUCUUAUGUUUAUUUUGUACUUUCUCUUAAGUCACACUCAAGAUUUUAUGGUGUUUCUCUAGCGAAUUAAUCUGAUUUCUGUUGGAGCAUAUAUACUUCAUCCUUAUAGAAAGUGUGGCUAUCAAAUGUAUAAGUUGUUGAGAACCUUUUUUGCCCUCUGAAAUGAUUUUGAGCAGUGCUUGGUUUUAUAGUUCGUAUCAUUUUGUCCUUAUAUAUAGUUGCAGAACUAAUACUGAUCUUGAAUAUCUAGUACAUUGACCAUGACAGUUAGGGGCCUACUUUAACAUAAAAAUUAAGCAGGGACAAGUAAGUGGACUCAAGAAUGCCACCUUUCUAUUGGAGCGAGCAAGUGGCAAAACAUUGCAUCCCAAAUCUUCAUCUUGAUAUGUCUUAACAUCAUCAGUUAAAGUUGGAUG
rnacentral:lncRNA from 1 species